rnacentral:rRNA from 1 species
AAGCGGAGGAAAAGAAACUAACAAGGAUUCCCCUAGUAACUGCGAGUGAAGCGGGAAAAGCUCAAAUUUAAAAUCUGGCAGUGGUUCACUGCCCGAGUUGUAAUCUAGAGAAGUGUUGCUCACACUGGACCAUGUAUAAGUCUUCUGGAAUGAAGCGUCAUAGAGGGUGAGAAUCCCGUCUUUGACAUGGACUCCCAGUGUAUUUGUAGCAUGCUCUCAAAGAGUCGAGUUGUUUGGGAAUGCAGCUCUAAAUGGGUGGUAACCUCCAUCUAAAGCUAAAUAUUGGCGAGAGACCGAUAGUGAACAAGUACCGUGAGGGAAAGAUGAAAAGAACUUUGGAAAGAGAGUUAAAAAGUACGUGAAAUUGUUGAAAGGGAAACGCUUGAAGUCAGUCACAUUGGCCAGGGAUCAACUUGCUUAAGUGUACUUCCUGGCUGAUGGGCCAACAUCAGCUUUGACUGUCAGAGAAGGGUAGGGGGAAUGUGGCACCCUUCUUGGGUGUGUUAUAGCCCUCUGUCAUAUAUGGCCGUUGGGGCUGAGGAAUGCAGCGCGCCACAAGGCCGGGCUUCGACCACGUUCGCGCUUAGGAUGUUGGCAUAAUGGCUUUAAUCGACCCGUC